CCUGGUGGCUCAGUGGUAAAGAAUCUGCCUGAAAUGCAGGAGACCCGGGUUCGAUCCCUGGGUCAGGA
rnacentral:tRNA from 1 species